UACAGAGGGUGCAAGCGUUGUCCGGAAUCACUGGGCGUAAAGGGCGCGUAGGCGGCCUGAUAAGUCGAACGUGAAAUCCCCGAGCUCAACUCGGGAACUGCGUCCGAUACUGGCGGGCUUGAAUCCGGGAGAGGGAUGCGGAAUUCCAGGUGUAGCGGUGAAAUGCGUAGAUAUCUGGAGGAACACCGGUGGCGAAGGCGGCAUCCUGGACCGGCAUUGACGCUGAGGCGCGAAAGCUAGGGGAGCAAACGGG
rnacentral:rRNA from 1 species